GUCAUUUUGAAUCAGUAUGGAUAGGAAUGUGUCACAAUGGGCUGUAGUCUACCUUGCACAGAGGCCUGUCCCAUCUGCAGCCUGCCCCCCGACUCCCACCUUUCUUGCCUUACUCCACGAGGGGCCAUUGUGUGCAGACCUCCAGCCACCAGGGCCAGGGCUGUGCAGUGUGACCUAUAGACCCAAAGUCACUGUGCCUGAUAGGCUCUUUGUUUGAGAGCCUGGCCUGGUCCCCCUCAGCCCGCCCCCUCCUCACAGAGCAAGGAGCCCACAGGCCAGUGGCUUUUGCCAAGCACUCGCUUAGUCCACAGGAUCUGGGAAAUGAAGACCUGGAAUGUCGGUAACCCUGCGUGGCAGUGAUCCCGUUGGGGAAGGAGGAGAGGAACACUGCUUUUCUUCCUUCUUUUAGCCAUAAGAUUCUGGAAAGGAGAACCAGAGGAAGGCAGAGCCACCCCCUGGUACAGUCCCUGAACUCUAGUGAAUGGGGCAUGGUUCAUGAAAUACAUUAGAGGCAAAGAUCAACCACUCUGCUUCAAUUAACCACAUGCAAUUGUGACAUCAAACAAAAACGUCAGACGCCAUUCCAAAGAUUAAAUUGUAUAAAUCUGAAAUAAAGCAAGAUAUGCUUCAUUAUUUCACUCUUUAAACCAUGAGCUAUUUGUCCCUCUUUGCAAAGAAGGGCCAUUGAUUUUGG
rnacentral:lncRNA from 10 species